rnacentral:rRNA from 1 species
UACAGAGGGUGCGAGCGUUAAUCGGAAUUACUGGGCGUAAAGGGCGCGUAGGCGGUUAUAAGGGUGUGAUGUGAAAGCCCCGGGCUUAACCUGGGAAGUGCAUUGCAAACCGUAUAUCUGGAGUAUAUGAGAGGGUGGCGGAAUUUCCGGUGUAGCGGUGAAAUGCGUAGAGAUCGGAAGGAACGUCGAUGGCGAAGGCAGCCACCUGGCAUAAUACUGACGCUGAAGCGCGAAAGCGUGGGUAGCGAACAGG